rnacentral:rRNA from 1 species
CCUACGGGAGGCAGCAGUGAGGAAUAUUGGUCAAUGGGCGGAAGCCUGAACCAGCCAAGUAGCGUGCGGGAUGACGGCCCUACGGGUUGUAAACCGCUUUUGCACGGGGAUAAGACCCGCCACGAGUGGAGGUCUGCAGGUACCGGGCGAAAAAGGGCCGGCUAAUUCCGUGCCAGCAGCCGCGGUAAUACGGAAGGGGCGAGCGUUAUCCGGAUUUAUUGGGUUUAAAGGGAGCGCAGGCGGAGGGUGAAGGUCAGCGGUAAAAUCGCGGGGCUCAACCGCGCCGCGCAGUUGAAACUGGACGCCUUGAGUGCGCGACAGGCAUGCGGAAUGCGUGGUGUAGCGGUGAAAUGCAUAGAUAUCACGAAGAACCCCGAUUGCGAAGGCAGCCUGCCGGGGUGCAACUGACGCUGAGGCUCGAAGGUGCGGGUAUCGAACAGGAUUAGAUACCCUUGUAGUC